GUCUCAGGCCGUAUCAGCCUGAAGGCGCCCGAUCUCGUCGGAUCUCGGAAGCUAAGCAGGGUCGGGCCUGGUUAGUAUCUUGGAUGGGAGACCACCUGGGAAUCCCGGGUGCUCGAGGCU
ensembl:rRNA 5S_rRNA 5S ribosomal RNA